UGCAUCGAUGAAGAACGCAGCGAAAUGCGAUAAGUAAUGUGAAUUGCAGAAUUCAGUGAAUCAUCGAAUCUUUGAACGCACAUUGCGCCCGCCAGUAUUCUGGCGGGCAUGCCUGUUCGAGCGUCAUUUC
rnacentral:rRNA from 1 species